GCUUUCUUCGUGAGGGAGCAGAUUUGACCCGGGAGGAAUCCUGGGCUGUGUCAGCACUAGGAGGGCAGGGCCCGGAGGGAGUGUACGCAGACGCAGAAGCGUGAGGUGGUGUAGACCCGUUGGCCUGCGGGUCCGUGUGCCCUCAGCGUCACUUCCUGCGGAUUGAAAGCUAGGGUAGUGGAGCCCUGGGGCCCAGGCGGGCACUGCUGCCGCCUUCCCCUGUCCGGGCGAGAGGAAUGAUCCACGGCCACCGCCGAGGACCCCCCGUCACGUGCAUCCUUGAGAGGGUUACGCAGCAGGCAGGGAGCUUCCGAGCCUGCUUAGCUCGUCCAGACAACUCCUUCAGGUUGCUGGCACGGAGCCCGGAACGAGGAGGCCCCUUCAGAGCACAGUGUUUCUGUCGGAGCAUCACAGGAUGGUCUACACCCCGAGCAAGGCCUGUAUGCUCAUGGGGGAAAGCAUUACGGGCACCAAAAGCAUCAAAUUAGAGUGGAGCUUUCCAGAAGUGAUGGCGGAAGGCCUUCAUCUGCGAAGAACUGCAGAAGUUACGUGACAGAAUCUGUAUCUGCAUUGAGAAUGUGAAGGACUUCACAGGCAGCCCAGGCCGCCCCAACAGCAGGCCCUUCACAGUAAAGUCCAUGUGUUUCCCAUCUCCUGCUUUUGGCAGAGAGUCCGAGGCACACAGAGGAGGGGAAUGUUCUGUAAUGGAAAACAGAUUUCAGUCUUGCAAACUUCCUUGGAUCUUAACCUUUUUUAAACCCAUGUUCACAGGUAUGUCUUCCCAGCAGUAUUUCUGUUACUCUCUUUGAACAACUGAUCAUUAUUAAUGCCUUUCAGUAAUUUCCAUUCCACAAGUGUUUUUCACGGAUGACUUCGACUCCCUGAAAUGACACCGUUGGUAGAAUUUCAGGUGAAAUGAUAAACCAGUUACCAGCAAGAAGAGGAGAGACUGGAUCCCUUACCUUUGUCUGGAGGACAGGCUGCUGCUUUCUUACAAGUGCCCCAGCGGUGGGAGUAGCCACUCCGUCCCGGCAGAAGA